rnacentral:rRNA from 1 species
GAGUUUGAUCGUGGCUCAGAGUGAAUGCUAGGGGUAUGCUUAACACAUGCAAGUUGAACGGAACAUUUGUUUAGUAGCGUACGGGUGAGUAAUAUAGGAGAACUAAUUACUAAGUUCAGGAUAAGAGAUUCGUCUGUAUAAAUACUGGAUAUGUUGAAAGAUUUAUCGCUUAGUUUGAGGCUCCUAUGGGAUUAGGUUGUUGGUUGUGUAAUGGACAACCAAGCCGAAGAUCCCUAGUUGGUUUGAGAGGAUGACCAGCCACACUGGGACUGAGACAAGGCCCAGACUUCCAUGGAGGGCAGCAGUGAGGAAUAUUGGACAAUGGGCGCAAGCUUGAUCCAGCAAUACCUAUUGGGUGAUGACAGGAACACUGUAAAACCUAUGAAAUAAGGAAAUUAUGACUGUACUUAAUUUUUAGCCCUGGCUAACUUCGUGCCAGCAGCCGCGGUAAC